UUUUGGUAUCCGCCUCCGUCGGCCCUCGUCCUGUCUAUGAUUCGGAUGUGGUAUAUAUUAUCUUUUAUAACUAUUUGUUUAUUUAGUGUUUAUGACAAUUAUGACGGCCAAUGUGACAUAUAUUUUUUUAAUCUAGGAGGUAUGUGAACCGGAAAUUCCAACCCACAUAAAAAUUCUUGUCGAGAAGUUAAAUUUGGUUGAAAAAGAAAACAAAUACUUGAAGAAAAAAUUGAAAAUAAUUGAGGAUAAGAAUAUGGAACUGGAGUUGCAUGUCGCCGAUGUCAUCAAUGAUCGCAAGAUGAAGAUCGAUGCGAUGCGGUUGAAGAUGGAUGCAAUGCGCUUGAAGAUGGAUGAAAUGCGCUUGAAUAUUAGGAAUAUUAGAAAAUAUGCCAUUGAUAAA
rnacentral:lncRNA from 1 species